UCCAAAAGAAAAGCAAAUGCACUGAACCAAAAUUCCCACUACCCAAAAGCGAAUUGUUUGUUGAACCCACAUUGCUAUAAGUUGCAUUUUGUUGAUCUGGCAGCUUCAACAUGCACUUUAUCGCUGUUUCCAUGUUUCAGAGUAAGAUUGACAAUGUGGGUCAUUAUAGUGGAGCACUUAAUCUCUUGUACUAGAUUCCCUUCUAAGUUUGGUGUUUACAACCCAAAAUCACAGAUUUACUGGAUUUGGGGUCAAUCCAAUGUCUGCCAGAGCUCAGAGAGAGAGCUUUGGUAGAUCACAGUUGCAGCUUGCAUUACCAUUCCGCUUAUAAAUAGCUGACAGAAGUCUCUGGAUCAUCACACCUCUGCUUAUUUACUAGCUUCCUCUUGCUCCCUCUGUUUAUACUUCCUCACAGUCUCAUUCUGUUUUCCUUUUCCUUCCGUUUGUUUUCCUUGUGUGGACCGAUCCACUUGAAUCACCAAACCUUCCCUUCUUCCCAAUCUUAUUCUCUCUCCAUAUUUCAGAUCCGAUCCUGUGCACCGAUGCGUUAAAUCUCCUCUUUUGUUCGUCUGAAGUCAACAACGCAUGCGCCACCUUCGAUGAGCGUUGCUUUAAGCGGUUACCUGCUAGUGCACACGGGGUUCUACCCCUUCGUGCAACAAAGAUUGGCAACCGGCCGCCUUUUGGUUGCUGCCUUUGUGGAUCUGUAUGGUUUUCCUUUUCUUCAGUUCUUCUUGGGUGCGGCUGUGUAUUUGGAAUUGGAGAAUUGUGUUUCUGUGUUCCCAAGCACUUUGGUUUGGUCGAUCUGCUGUGGUUCAUCCUGCUGCAAUUCCUUGUGGCUGCGAUUCCUCAACGGCAUAUGGUGGCUUAGGCAUCAAAUAGAGAAAGAGAUUUAUGCAUGAAUUUUGGCUUUAUAGGGAAGUGGUUAUGUACUUGUGGAGUUUUGUUGUUAACUUCUGGAAGAAUAACCAUUUCCUUAAUUCGUUUCUUGCUCAUGUUGUCUUGUUGUGGUUUUUGACAUUUUACUUGAUUAUUUUAUAUUUAGUAACCUCGCCGUAUUAUUCACCUGAAACAUUAUUCUUCUGCGUGCAGAGACAUGUUUAAGUGCCUUUCAGGAUCCACUUGAUCCAAGCACUGCCUUGGGAGGAUUCUCUGGUAACAAAUAUUCUGAGGCUUCAGCAUUCGUAGUCACCUACCCAGUUAAUAAUGCAGUUGAUGAUGUAGGAAAUGAGAAUGGGAAGGCACUGGCUUGGGAGAAGGCUUUUAUUCAGUUAGAAAAGGAUGAACUGCUGCCAAUGGUGCUGUCUCGGAAUCUGAGUCUCUCAUUUUCGGCCGAAAGCUCAACUGAGGAAGAAUUAAAAAGAGAAAGUACUGCAGAUGUUAUGACCAUAAUAGUAAGCUAUCUGGUAAUGUUCCUGUAUAUAUCUCUGACAUAGGGAGAUGCACCUCAAAUAUCUUCUUUUUACCUCUCGUCCAAGGUCCUGCUUGGUUUGUCAGGAGUAUUGCUUGUAAUGCUUUCUGUUCUUGGAUCUGUUGGAUUUUUCAGUGCUGUGAGAGUUAAAUCUACAUUAAUCAUAAUGGAAGUCAUUCCUUGCCUUGUUUUGGCUGUUGGUGUAGAUAACAUGUGUAUAUUGGUACAUGCAAUCACCGGAGUUACCUUUAGAAUGACGAGUAAGUAAUGCACUGGUUGAAGUUGGUCCAUCCAUAACACACUGACUAGUUUGUCUGAGGUUUUGGCAUUUGCAGUGGGAAGCUUCAUUCCUAUGCCAGCAUGCCGAGUCUUCUCCAUGAUUGCAGCCCUUGCUGUUUUGAUGGACUUCUUUCUGCAAGUCACUGCAUUUGUUGCGUUGAUAUACUUUGACCUUUUGAGAGCUGAGGAUGGCAGGUUUGAUUGUUUUCCAUGCAUAAAAGUCUCGUCAUCUUUUGUGGAAUCCACUGAAGGUAUAUUUGUGUGCUAUGAUAGUGUGUUGAGGUUGCUUUGCCUUUAGUAUACUUUUGAUCUUAAUUUUUCUACUCUUUCAAGUCACACACUAUUCUCAAAAGAAAAAAAAGUCACACGCCCACAUUUUUUUCCCUUCUCCUUUGUCACAUUAGUAUUAGUUCUAAUGAAGUCAUCAUCCCACUCCUCGACUAUACCCCACAAGUACAAUAUCUUCUAGUUUGUAUAAACUUGAUAUGACACCUGGUGAGAUUUCUUGAAGUGACCAACAUUCUGCCAAAUCUGGCAACUUUAGAUUGCACAAGUUUUUGAAUUCCUCAAGUACACGCUCUAUGCGAGAUUCACAUAGGUGGAGUAUCGUGAGUGUCCGUAGCUCCCCAGUCAUAGACAUUGUUUUCGAUCCGAGUUCUAAACCCCUUAGACGCAAUGUUUGAAUGUUUCUCAUAAGUAGCGGAAGUGUCCCCAGUAUGUUUUACACCAAGUAUAAUAAAGAACUGAGAUGUCUAAAACCUUAAGAUCUUUCACUCCAUUCAAUGUGCUUAGCGUGUCCACAUCGGACGUCUCUUCAUCAUUUGCGCGUGACAACAACCAAAACUCAUGAGUACUUUUAUUGGUUGUCAGUGAAGUAUAUAUGUAUACACCAUUGUAAUAGCAAUAGCAAGAACCAUGUUGAAUUUUUCUCAAUGUCUAUCAACUGGCAUAUAUUAAAUAAAUGCCCAUCAUCACUAUAUGUGAGGCAUCACCAUCAAUGCCAUCAUCAUAUUAACACUCACCAAGCAAAGCUAAAACCCCAAGCAGCAGGGGCGGAUGCAGAUACAAAGAUGAUUGGGCUCAAGCCUCACUGAGGUUUUUGGGCUUAGGUAUAUACAUCUGUUUUUUUUUAAAGUCUCUAUCCCUUUCUCAAGCCGCACCGUCGUUUCUUCUCUUCUUCUUCUCCUCUUCGUCUCCAAGCUCUAGGCCUCCAGCAGAAAACUAAAACUCCAAGUAUCUCUCUCUUCCUCUACGCUUAUAGAAAACUAAUAUUUUGUUCUGAAUUCUGAUCACGAAUUUAUAUUCCAAUUUUUUUUUUUGGAAGUUUCUGAUCUUCAAUGUGUCUUUGAGGUCAACUUCGGAACUUCGCAUUGGUGCAGAAAAUUGUUGAGUUAUUCUUCUUCUUUAGUUCUUCGGCUCUUGAUGGCUUGAUCAGUUGACUCCACCGAAAUACAGAAUCACCGAUGCUAAAGAGGUAUUCAGAUAACCAAUUCAUAAAACCCAAAUUGAAAUUGUUAAAGCUAAUUAGCUAAAUCCUUUUUGAUUUUUGGGUACUGGGAUUUUUUUGGUAUCUGAAAUUGGGUGUGUAACGUGAAUUUGUGGGUUUGCUGAAUUUGUGUGCAAGUGUAAACGUGAAUUUGAUUUCUAGGUUGGGUUUGCUGAAUUUGUCUGCGAAUUUGAAUUUGUGCAUGGGUUUGCUGAAUCUAAGCUCUUAUGAUAUGUCUCCUACCAUUUCUCCAAGAGUUAGGGUCUCCAUCAUCCUCGACAUCAAUGAAGUAGUGGAGUUGUUUAAGAAAGAGAUAUAAGCAACUAGCAGAAGAUGAAUGCGUGAUUUGUGGUGGUGCAAUAUGAGCUUUGUCCUAAUUAUCAAAUAUCCCUCUCUAAAAAGCACAAAGUUUUCUGACCAGCAAACCGAAAAGACAGCAUAAUGUUUGUUUCUGACCCUGACUCUUGGAAAAGUUGUAGGAGACAUAUCAUAAGAGAGCUUAGAUUCAGCAAACCUCUUUAACAUCGGUAUUUCGGUGGAGUCAACUGAUCAAGCCAACAAGGGCUGAAGAAGAAGAAGAAUAACUCAACAAUUUUCUGCACCCCAAUAAAUUAUAAUGGUGUAUACAUUUGUACUUCACUGACAGCCAAUAAAAGUACCCAUGAGCUUCUGUUGUUGUCACGCGCAAAUGAUGAAGAGAGGUCUGAUGUGGACACACUAGUUACAUUGAAUGGAGUGGAAGAUCUUAAGGUCUUAGACCGCUCAGUUCUUUAUGAUACUUGUGUAAAACAUAAUUGGGAUCACUUCUGCUACUUAUAAGAAACAAUCAAACACUGUGUCUAAGGGGUUUAGAACUCGGAUCGGAAACAAUGUCUAUGACUAGGGAGCUACGGACACUCACGAUACUCCACCUAUGUAGAUCUCUCAUAGAGCGUGUACCUGAGCAAUUCAAAUACUUGUGCAAUCUAAAGUUGUUAGAUUUGGCAGAAUGUUGGUCACUUCAAGAAAUCUUACCAGGUGUCGUAUCGAGUUUAUCCAAACUAAAAUAAUUAUACUUGUGGGGUAUAGUCUGUUGGUAUUUUAAAAGAUUUUAAAAUAUUUAAUUUGAUUUUCGAUUUUCAAUUUGUAA